rnacentral:lncRNA from 1 species
ACUUCAGUUAGUGCAAGAAAAAAAAGAUGGCAUCUCUGAACUAGAAUCUACUUUUGUUUGAAUAAAAUCGCUUUUCCUGUUUUGUUUAAUGCUACUUUAAAUUUAAGAUCUUAAAGGUGGAAGAUUUUUCUUCAAUGUGGGCGAGGAAGGUAAUAGCGGACUUUAUGCCAGUGGCGUUGAAAAUGAGUGCCAUCUAUGGAUCAUGGCCAUGUACAGGACUAUCUCGUAAACCAAUUCCCCUCGUUUAACCUCAAACCAGCAAAAACUUCAAACCAUAUCUAGGUUACAAGGAGGCCGGACGGCAUUGGAACUGCGACUGUUGAAGAGAAAGAUUUUUUUUGCCGAUAUUAAUGAACGUUAAAGAAUACUUCUCGAAAACCAAAUUACUCAUUUUAGUUUUGGAUUUGUUCAAUCCAAGCUGUGCUGCUGACAGGCUAAACGUGGGUGGUAUUCUAGGUUAACCCACGAAAAAAAAUCCGCAUGAAUCAAAAAUCAUAAAUCUGAAGGGGAAAAAAAUUAUGGCUUUUGAGAAUAUCUGUAAUAAUCUGCUUAAAACCAAAUUUUCUAGAGCUAUGAAAUUUUAUUGUUUGCUACUAUCUACGAUAAUUUUUUCUACUUUUUGCGUAAUUUUAGAAGGAAUUAAUAAAAAACCAAAACAAUUUGAUUGAAACGACUGUAUUCUUGUAUGGAAAUACUGUAUUGUUUUUAUGGAAAUUAAAUCAUCAUCAAAAUUAAAUAAAUGCUGAGCAUUUUGUUCUUUCAUAAACAACAAAUCUUUC